rnacentral:rRNA from 1 species
UACGUAGGGCGCAAGCGUUGUCCGGAAUUAUUGGGCGUAAAGCGCACGUAGGCGGCUUCUUAAGUCGGUGGUGAAAUCCUGGAGCUCAACUCCAGAACUGCCUUCGAUGCUGGGAGCUCGAGUCCGGGAGAGGUGAGUGGAACUGCGAGUGUAGAGGUGAAAUUCGUAGAUAUUCGCAAGAACACCAGUGGCGAAGGCGGCUCACUGGCCCGGUACUGACGCUGAGGUGCGAAAGCGUGGGGAGCAAACAGGG